UACGUAGGGGGCAAGCGUUAUCCGGAUUUACUGGGUGUAAAGGGAGCGUAGACGGUAAGACAAGUCUGAAGUGAAAGCCCGGGGCUCAACCCCGGGACUGCUUUGGAAACUGCCUGACUGGAGUGCUGGAGAGGCAAGCGGAAUUCCUAGUGUAGCGGUGAAAUGCGUAGAUAUUAGGAAGAACACCAGUGGCGAAGGCGGCUUGCUGGACAGUAACUGACGUUGAGGCUCGAAAGCGUGGGGAGCAAACAGG
rnacentral:rRNA from 1 species